rnacentral:tRNA from 1 species
GGGCGUAUAGCUCAGCGGUAGAGCACUGGUUUUACACACCAGCGGUCCGCGGUUCGAUCCCGCGUGCGCCCA